UUAAGCGACUAAGCGUACACGGUGGAUGCCCUGGCAGUCAGAGGCGAUGAAGGACGUGCUAAUCUGCGAAAAGCGUCGGUAAGGUGAUAUGAACCGUUAUAACCGGCGAUGUCCGAAUGGGGAAACCCAGUGCAAUUCGUUGCACUAUCGUUAACUGAAUACAUAGGUUAACGAGGCGAACCGGGGGAACUGAAACAUCUAAGUACCCCGAGGAAAAGAAAUCAACCGAGAUUCCCCCAGUAGCGGCGAGCGAACGGGGAGCAGCCCAGAGUCUGAAUCAGCUUGUGUGUUAGUGGAACGGUCUGGAAAGUCCGACGGUACAGGGUGAUAGUCCCGUACACCAAAAUGCACAGGUUGUGAACUCGAAGAGUAGGGCGGGACACGUGGUAUCCUGUCUGAAUAUGGGGGGACCAUCCUCCAAGGCUAAAUACUCCUGACUGACCGAUAGUGAACCAGUACCGUGAGGGAAAGGCGAAAAGAACCCCGGCGAGGGGAGUGAAAAAGAACCUGAAACCGUGUACGUACAAGCAGUGGGAGCACCUUCGGGUGUGACUGCGUACCUUUUGUAUAAUGGGUCAGCGACUUAUAUUCUGUAGCAAGGUUAACCGUAUAGGGGAGCCGCAGGGAAACCGAGUCUUAACUGGGCGUUAAGUUGCAGGGUAUAGACCCGAAACCCGGUGAUCUAGCCAUGGGCAGGUUGAAGGUUGGGUAACACUAACUGGAGGACCGAACCGACUAAUGUUGAAAAAUUAGCGGAUGACUUGUGGCUGGGGGUGAAAGGCCAAUCAAACCGGGAGAUAGCUGGUUCUCCCCGAAAGCUAUUUAGGUAGCGCCUCGUGAAUUCAUCUUCGGGGGUAGAGCACUGUUUCGGCUAGGGGGUCAUCCCGACUUACCAACCCGAUGCAAACUACGAAUACCGAAGAAUGUUAUCACGGGAGACACACGGCGGGUGCUAACGUCCGUCGUGAAGAGGGAAACAACCCAGACCGCCAGCUAAGGUCCCAAAGUCAUGGUUAAGUGGGAAACGAUGUGGGAAGGCACAGACAGCCAGGAUGUUGGCUUAGAAGCAGCCAUCAUUUAAAGAAAGCGUAAUAGCUCACUGGUCGAGUCGGCCUGCGCGGAAGAUGUAACGGGGCUAAACCAUGCACCGAAGCUGCGGCAGCGACACUAUGUGUUGUUGGGUAGGGGAGCGUUCUGUAAGCCUGCGAAGGUGGCCUGUGAGGGUUGCUGGAGGUAUCAGAAGUGCGAAUGCUGACAUAAGUAACGAUAAAGCGGGUGAAAAGCCCGCUCGCCGGAAGACCAAGGGUUCCUGUCCAACGUUAAUCGGGGCAGGGUGAGUCGACCCCUAAGGCGAGGCCGAAAGGCGUAGUCGAUGGGAAACAGGUUAAUAUUCCUGUACUUGGUGUUACUGCGAAGGGGGGACGGAGAAGGCUAUGUUAGCCGGGCGACGGUUGUCCCGGUUUAAGCAUGUAGGCUGGUUGUCCAGGCAAAUCCGGAUAAUCAAGGCUGAGGUGUGAUGACGAGGCACUACGGUGCUGAAGUAACAAAUGCCCUGCUUCCAGGAAAAGCCUCUAAGCAUCAGGUAACAUCAAAUCGUACCCCAAACCGACACAGGUGGUCAGGUAGAGAAUACCAAGGCGCUUGAGAGAACUCGGGUGAAGGAACUAGGCAAAAUGGUGCCGUAACUUCGGGAGAAGGCACGCUGGUGUGUAGGUGAAGUCCCUGCGGAUGGAGCUGAGACCAGUCGAAGAUACCAGCUGGCUGCAACUGUUUAUUAAAAACACAGCACUGUGCAAACACGAAAGUGGACGUAUACGGUGUGACGCCUGCCCGGUGCCGGAAGGUUAAUUGAUGGGGUUAUCCGUAAGGAGAAGCUCUUGAUCGAAGCCCCGGUAAACGGCGGCCGUAACUAUAACGGUCCUAAGGUAGCGAAAUUCCUUGUCGGGUAAGUUCCGACCUGCACGAAUGGCGUAAUGAUGGCCAGGCUGUCUCCACCCGAGACUCAGUGAAAUUGAACUCGCUGUGAAGAUGCAGUGUACCCGCGGCAAGACGGAAAGACCCCGUGAACCUUUACUAUAGCUUGACACUGAACAUUGAGCCUUGAUGUGUAGGAUAGGUGGGAGGCUUUGAAGCGUGGACGCCAGUCUGCGUGGAGCCAACCUUGAAAUACCACCCUUUAAUGUUUGAUGUUCUAACGUUGGCCCCUGACCGGGGUUGCGGACAGUGUCUGGUGGGUAGUUUGACUGGGGCGGUCUCCUCCCAAAGCGUAACGGAGGAGCACGAAGGUUAGCUAAUCCUGGUCGGACAUCAGGAGGUUAGUGCAAUGGCAUAAGCUAGCUUGACUGCGAGCGUGACGGCGCGAGCAGGUGCGAAAGCAGGUCAUAGUGAUCCGGUGGUUCUGAAUGGAAGGGCCAUCGCUCAACGGAUAAAAGGUACUCCGGGGAUAACAGGCUGAUACCGCCCAAGAGUUCAUAUCGACGGCGGUGUUUGGCACCUCGAUGUCGGCUCAUCACAUCCUGGGGCUGAAGUAGGUCCCAAGGGUAUGGCUGUUCGCCAUUUAAAGUGGUACGCGAGCUGGGUUUAGAACGUCGUGAGACAGUUCGGUCCCUAUCUGCCGUGGGCGCUGGAGAAUUGAGGGGGGCUGCUCCUAGUACGAGAGGACCGGAGUGGACGCAUCACUGGUGUUCGGGUUGUCAUGCCAAUGGCACUGCCCGGUAGCUAAAUGCGGAAGAGAUAAGUGCUGAAAGCAUCUAAGCACGAAACUUGCCCCGAGAUGAGUUCUCCCUGAGACUUUAAGUCUCCUGAAGGAACGUUAAAGACGAUGACGUUGAUAGGCCGGGUGUGUAAGCGCAGCGAUGCGUUGAGCUAACCGGUACUAAUGAACCGUGAGGCUUAACCUU
rnacentral:rRNA from 1 species